GCCUUUUUAGGGCCACCCCUGCAGCAUAUGGAGGUCCCCAGGCUAGGGGUUGAAUCGGAGCUGUAGCUGCCAGCCUCCAUCACAGCUACAGCAAUGUGGGAUCCAAGCCACAUCUGCGACCCACGCCGCAGCUCACGGCAAAGCCGGAUCCUUAAGCCACUGAGGGAGGCCAGGGAUUGAACCCACGUCCUCAUGGAUACUGAGAAGAGGAUAGAAAGAUCUGAACCCAGUGCUGCCACCGACAGUCACUGUGGCAACUAACUCAACUCUCUGGCCCUAAGUCUCCUCGUUAGUAUAUAAGGUGUCUGAGGCUCCCUCUCAGAAGUGCCAUCCUUCCAUAUUCUGGGCAUAUUAUUUGCACCACAAAUAUUUGGAUGGAUCCAUAGAGCGCUGCGCUCUGAACUCUGUCCGCGGUGCUGAAACAGCGAUCGGCAUGCUGCCUCUGUCCUUGGUGCUGAAACGGAACCCAGUGCCUGGGCUGAACCCUCUUCCAGGCCACCCCGCGCAUUGUCCCCGGUGAGCUGAAUUCAGGAAACCAGAACCUUUUCCAGGACUGCAGAGUAGCGGUCCCACCUUCCUUUGCUAAUUACUCCCUGAUAAGCCCCGAGCAGAAGCCACGGCGGUGAGCAGCCUGCUCGCCGACUUCAAGAACCUCCUAUACUUGGAUGAGGUGCGCAGAUGCCAAGGACCCCAGUCAGUAGCCCUACUCCAAACAAAAGGAGCUUCCCUGUAAUGUAAAUGCCUCAUCCCAUUCUCUCAAGGGGAGCCCCGCCGCAAUGCCUCCUGGCGGCUGGCGCGGGUACUGUGCUCAGAGGAGGAACACAGAAGGUCCCCAGCGGUGACGCCUGGGCGUGCGGGGAAGGAGCGGCAGACGCUCGGGCCCCCGCCACCCCCUCACCCCUCCCAGGGCAAUCUGGCGCUCUGAGCUUGCAGAACUGCCCAACACCCAAACGCUCCAGGCUGUCCCACUGUUUUCUGGCCGCCUUGGGGUGCCAUGCUGUCCCGUGCGCAGCGAAGACUCAACUCACGUUGCUGUACCCUGCCAGGUGAAACUUCCUGUUCCCUCUUCCAAGGGGGGUGGGGUAGACCUGUUUAGACAAACAACCUUUUCCUCCUGCUGGCAAGCAGAUGAUUGCAAAGACCUGUAAUACGCCUCCACUGGGGCAGAGACUCCCAACUUCACACCCACCCAAAUAAGGAACUUGCCCACAGCGCCUCCCUAGGAAGAAGUGGGGGUUGGGGGAGAAGGCCAACAGCUGCAGCCCACUCCUGUUCCCCCACCCCACAGUUGGGGGCUCUUCGAGAAGCAGAUCUGCUUGGUGUUUCCAGGGACUGCUAGAAAUUAGCCUCACUGGGUGUAGAAAUUCCCAUCCUUCCAAAAAACAAGCAGCAAAAUCAAACAACCUGAAGACAACACCUCAAAUGAGCUUUUCUGGAUUCAGACGGGGAGUAAGGACAAUAGACUUUUUAAUGUAAAAAUUUUUUGUUUUGUUUUGGUUUUUAUGGCUGCCUUGGGCCAAAUCCAAGCUGCCGCUGCCACCUAUGCCGAAAGUGUGGGGGAUCAAACACCUCCACAGUGAUCAGAGCCGCUGCCAUUGGCUUUCCAACCCACUGUGCCACAGCGGGACCACCACAAUAGCAGCUAUAGCUAAUAUCAUUUAUUGAGCACUUACUAUAGGCCAAGCACUGUGCUAGGAGCUCUGCCAACCUCUCAUUUAGCCCUACCAACCUCCCCUCCCCCAGGGAAGCAUCACAAUCAACAUCCUACAGUUGAGGACAGUGGGGAUUGGAGAGGUGAGGAGACCACUCAGGGUGGUGCCACUGGCAAGUAUUGAGACUGGCCUGGGAAACCACAUCUGUCUGCCCUCAAUCUUGCAGCUCAGCUGGGUCUACCUCACCAUCCCUCCAUGUUCUCGGGGAAGCCUCACCUCCCCUUAGGUGUGUUUAAGAUGACACCCCCCCCCCCGGCCCCCUUAGCCUCAUGUCUCAGCUGAGAGCCACAGGGAGGAAGACAGUAACAGCCCACACUCCCGUGGCAUUUUACAGCCCCCAAAGUGCACUCAUACCCACUGUCCAAAUCAACCCCCAUGAUACUGGGGCCCUCUUUUGAUUUUACAGGAGAAAAAAAUCCUGAGGCUCAAAGGAAUGAGUGGUUUGCCCCAAGUCACACAGUGAGGAGUGGAGCCAGAACUCAGAUGAAGAUGUCCAGGCUCCCAGUUUAGGGCUCCCUCUCCCCAUUUCUGCAAGGUUGGGGUCCUGCCACCAAGCCAGAAGGGGCGUCUUAAGGGUCUUCAUGUCCUGAGGGCUUCCCGAGGCCUUGACCUGAGAUGCUUCCCUCCUCCUAUUCCCUAGAGGCCAUCAGUUGGCUCAGCUCUAACUUGGAGUCUCCGAGUCUCAUUCUAAAUGAAAUUUUUUUUUCCAGGCAAUUACUUCCUGCUAAUUAGGAGGCAAGACUGCCAGUCCCUGGGCCCUGGGCUGACCCCUUUUCUCAUCUCACGGCAGGUGCCGGGGGCGGCGGGGGGGGUUUUGAUGAGGUGAGGUACUAGGUAGCAGCACCAGCCACAGAAACUGGUGGCCCCAUCAUCAGAAGAAGGCCAGGAAACUUUUUAGGGUGGCGGUGGGGACUAGUGGAGGAGUAAGGCGCUCCAGGGGACGGGAAGAAGGGAGGUGGGGAUGCUGAGAAGGAAGGAGGGAGGGACUCUGAAGUGGGAGAGAGACAGGGGCCAAGAAGCUGGAAGGAGCCUAGACGUGCUGUGCUGAGUAAGAGAGGGACCCAGGCUCAGGAGCAGCAGGGGGAGCCAGGAAGAUCCAGAGAAAUGGGGACACGUCAUAGGAAGGAAAAAGGAGCCAUCUCAGGAAGCAGGGAGAUGGAGGAGGGGGGCAGAGAUUGCCCCUCUGCAGAGGGGGAGGAAGGAAGGAGGCAAUCUGGAAUACGGUCAAAAUUAUAGAAGUGGAAGAGGUAGAGGCCCGGAGAUCCU
ensembl:lncRNA